UGACACUAAUUCUUUUAGAAUUCUGAAAUCAUAUUAGGUAAGUAUAUCUCUCUGAACAAAUUAUUUUUCAUAUACACCGCUCAACAAUCAAAGCCUAAAACUAAAUGUUCAAUAUGUUCUCUUAGGGCCUGUUUGGGGUAGCGUUUCAGACCCCAAACGUGCGUUGCGUUCCGGAGAACGUGAUUUACCAGUUUGCUGCAAGUGUUUGGUUUAGCGUUUUUGUCAACGCACCAACGCAGAUCCGGGCCAAAACAGCGUUGAACAAGAAGCGAUAAAUUAGAACGGCAGCGUCCAACGUUCUCGUUUGACCGUUGAAGAAUUAAAGUUUGUUGUUGAACAUGCCUUUGUGGGACUGGAACUGUGCACCUGCGAGCUGCAACUAGUUACAAGGGAGAAGAAACCAGGAAAAUAGCCAACGAAGAAGAAAGAGGAGAUGCAAGUCUCCUAGUCUAAAGCCAAAUUGAAAUAAAAUUUGGUGCCCUUUUUACUUUAUUUAUUUCAUUUUUAAUUUUAUAUUUAGUAAUGAAAACUAUCUCAUAAUAAAUAA